rnacentral:rRNA from 1 species
CGGCUACACAUGCAGUCGAGCGGUAGCACAGGGAGCUUGCUCCUGGGUGACGAGCGGCGGACGGGUGAGUAAUGUCUGGGAAACUGCCUGAUGGAGGGGGAUAACUACUGGAAACGGUAGCUAAUACCGCAUAACGUCUACGGACCAAAGUGGGGGACCUUCGGGCCUCAUGCCAUCAGAUGUGCCCAGAUGGGAUUAGCUAGUAUGUGGGGUAAUGGCUCACCUAGGCGACGAUCCCUAGCUGGUCUGAGAGGAUGACCAGCCACACUGGAACUGAGACACGGUCCAGACUCCUACGGGAGGCAGCAGUGGGGAAUAUUGCACAAUGGGCGCAAGCCUGAUGCAGCCAUGCCGCGUGUGUGAAGAAGGCCUUCGGGUUGUAAAGCACUUUCAGCGAGGAGGAAGGGUAGUGUGUUAAUAGCACAUUGCAUUGACGUUACUCGCAGAAAAAGCACCGGCUAACUCCGUGCCAGCAGCCGCGGUAAUACGGAGGGUGCAAGCGUUAAUCGGAAUUACUGGGCGUAAAGCGCACGCAGGCGGUUUGUUAAGUCAGAUGUGAAAUCCCCGCGCUUAACGUGGGAACUGCAUUUGAAACUGGCAAGCUAGA